AAAUCGGUCCUUUUCAGGACCCCAAUGUUAAUUUGCAAUGAGAUUU
rfam:Drosophila ananassae strain TSC#14024-0371.13 Ctg01_3470, whole genome shotgun sequence.